UACGUAGGUGGCAAGCGUUGUCCGGAUUUAUUGGGCGUAAAGCGAGUGCAGGCGGUUCAAUAAGUCUGAUGUGAAAGCCUUCGGCUCAACCGGAGAAUUGCAUCGGAAACUGUUGAACUUGAGUGCAGAAGAGGAGAGUGGAACUCCAUGUGUAGCGGUGGAAUGCGUAGAUAUAUGGAAGAACACCAGUGGCGAAGGCGGCUCUCUGGUCUGCAACUGACGCUGAGGCUCGAAAGCAUGGGUAGCGAACAGG
rnacentral:rRNA from 1 species